GGUUAAACGGUGAAUCUCUUUUCCUGUUUGCCGGCGACAACAACGAUGUUGCGGCCCUUUACGCCAAUCCGCUGCUG
rnacentral:tRNA from 1 species